AGCGGCGGACGGGUGCGUAACACGUGGGUAACCUGCCCCUAUCACUGGGAUAACACACUGAAAAGUGUGCUAAUACCAGAUAAUAUAAGCUUUUGGCAUCAUUAGCUUAUCAAAGAAUUUCGGAUAGGGAUGGGCCCGCGUCUGAUUAGCUAGUUGGUGAGGUAACGGCUCACCAAGGCAACGAUCAGUAGCCGACCUGAGAGGGUGAUCGGCCACACUGGAACUGAGACACGGUCCAGACUCCUACGGGAGGCAGCAGUGGGGAAUAUUGCACAAUGGGCGAAAGCCUGAUGCAGCAACGCCGCGUGAGCGAUGAAGGCCUUCGGGUCGUAAAGCUCUGUCCUAUGGGAAGAUAAUGACGGUACCAUAGGAGGAAGCCCCGGCUAACUACGUGCCAGCAGCCGCGGUAAUACGUAGGGGGCAAGCGUUAUCCGGAAUUACUGGGCGUAAAGGGUGCGUAGGCGGUUUAUCAAGUCAGGGGUGAAAGGCUACGGCUCAACCGUAGUGAGCCUCUGAAACUGGUGAACUUGAGUGUAGGAGAGGAAAGUGGAAUUCCCAGUGUAGCGGUGAAAUGCGUAGAUAUUGGGAGGAACACCAGUGGCGAAGGCGACUUUCUGGACUACAACUGACGCUGAGGCACGAAAGCGUGGGGAGCAAACAGGAUUAGAUACCCUGGUAGUCCACGCUGUAAACGAUGAGUACUAGGUGUCGG
rnacentral:rRNA from 1 species